UAAUGAAAGGCUCUAAACAAAUACUUUUGAUUAUGGGCAUUAUAUCUCUUAUUGUUUUAUUUAUUUUUACACUAUUCAUCAUGGCGCAAUAUGCAAAACAUUAUGAACAAAAAUCCGACAGUUCCAACGCACAUACUUUAAAUUCAUCAUCAGCCAUAAUUGAGCAACAUACUAUGUCGAAUUUAGCGUCUCUAGAUUUAUACGCUCCUGUUCGUAACAUUACUUCUAGUCGUGAUAUUCAUCCCAUUUAUUUCAUGACAAAAGAUUAAAACUUCCUUUUUCAUAACCCCAUUCAUUCAACUAAUAAAUUAAAAAAUGAUAAAAACGUACUGUUUUU
rnacentral:snRNA from 2 species